AAUGGAAGUAUGACUAAUCAGAUUUUUCCUCCUAAUUUUCAGCUUUUUCCUCCUGAAAAAAUUCAAAUCCAAUUAAAAAUGCUAAAGAUCAAGAAGAAAAAUCUGAUCUGUCAUUUUUCCAUU
rfam:Gossypium hirsutum cultivar TM-1 chromosome 22, whole genome shotgun sequence